rnacentral:rRNA from 1 species
GACAGAGGUGCCGAGCGUUAGGCGGAAUCACUGGGCUUAAAGCGUGUGUAGGCGGCGGCGUAAGUACCUUGUGAAAUCCCACGGCUCAACCGUGGAACUGCUCGGUAUACUGCGUCGCUUGAGCCAGCUAGGGGCAACCGGAACAAACGGUGGAGCGGUGAAAUGCAUUGAGAUCGGAAGGAACACCAACGGCGAAAGCACUCUGCUGGGCCGACACUGACACUGAGAGACGAAAGCUAGGGGAGCAAAUGGG